AGUGAACGCUGGCGGUAGGCCUAACACAUGCAAGUCGAACGGCAGCACAGGAGAGCUUGCUCUCUGGGUGGCGAGUGGCGGACGGGUGAGGAAUACAUCGGAAUCUACUCUGUCGUGGGGGAUAACGGAGGGAAACUUACGCUAAUACCGCAUACGACCUACGGGUGAAAGCAGGGGACCUCCGGGCCUUGCGCGAUUGAAUGAGCCGAUGUCGGAUUAGCUAGUUGGCGGGGUAAAGGCCCACCAAGGCGACGAUCCGUAGCUGGUCUGAGAUGAUGAUCAGCAACACUGGAACUGAGACACGGUCCAGACUCCUACGGGAGGCAGCAGUGGGGAAUAUUGGACAAUGGGCGCAAGCCUGAUCCAGCCAUACCGCGUGGGUGAAGAAGGCCUUCGGGUUGUAAAGCCUUUUUGUUGGGAAAGAAAUCCAGCUGGCUAAUACCCGGUUGGGAUGACGGUACCCAAAGAAUAAGCACCGGCUAACUUCGUGCCAGCAGCCGCCGCCG
rnacentral:rRNA from 1 species